AACGUAGGUUCCGAGCGUUAUCCGGAUUUACUGGGCGUAAAGCGCGUUUAGGCGGUUUGGCAAGUCGGGCAUGAAAUCUCUCGGCUCAACCGGGAGAGGUUGUCCGAUACUGUUAGACUGGAGGGCAGUAGAGGGUGGUGGAAUUCCGGGUGUAGUGGUGAAAUGCGUAGAGAUCCGGAGGAACACCAGUGGCGAAAGCGGCCACCUGGACUGCACCUGACGCUGAAACGCGAAAGCUAGGGGAGCGAACGGG
rnacentral:rRNA from 1 species